UCUAGAAAAAUCCAAGCAUGUGCUUGGCACAUUUGUGCAUAUAGUAAAAGAAUAAUUCUGUUAUACAGGUACAACACAAUGAAUAGGAAUAGUACAAGUGUAAAUAGGAUUUUCUUUUACAUUUUCUUUUAUAGCAAUUUACUUGUACAUAUAGACAUUUGAAUGAUGAAUACAAUCAGUGAAAAAUUCUCUUAUUUCACAGUCCUUCUCUUACAUGGUAUCAGAGCAGCAGUAGCUCGAUCCAUUUACAAUCAACCAUCAAUCAUCUUCUCUGUUUCUUCCCUGUUAUUCAACCUUCAGCCAUGGCAGGAACUGAAGCUUCACCCACUCUUUCUCUAGCUGGUUCAUCCAGUACUGGAGUCAUAGCAGACACAAAUCAUCCUUAUUUUCUGCAUUCAUUUGAUGCAUCAUGGAUGACUAUGGUGAACUCACCUUUUGAUGGCACCUUUUGAUGGAAGAGGAUAUCCAGGCCGGAGAAGGUCUGUCUUGAUUGCUUUCUCAGCCAAGAAUAAGAUUGGCUUCAUCAAUAGUGUUUGUGUUGAACCAGAUCUGGGAUCUAAGGACCAUCCUCAAUGGAGCAGAACAAAUGAUAUAAUCACCUCUUGGUUGCUAAACUCACUCUCCAAAGAGAUAGGAGACAGUGCGAUUUAUUCAAAGACUGCACAAAGCCUUUGGAACAGUCUUGAACAUAAGUUUGGGCAAUCAAAUGGUGCCAAAUUUUAUCAUUUGCAAAAGGAAAUUGCAAAGUCAAUAUAAGGAAAUAGCAUCAUAGCAGGAUAUUUCACAACACUCAAAAGGUUGUGGGAUGAACUGGAUUCUCUCAACUCUCAUUUGGGUUGUACACACAAUUGCACAUGUGAAGGGAAGAAAAAGGUGGCAAAGUUCUUGGAAGAUCAAAGGAUCAUUCAAUUUCUCAUGGGUCUAAAUGACUCAUAUGCACAGGUAAGAGGACACAUACUAAUGAUGAACCCACUUCCUAGCAUAGAUUAUGCUUACUCAAUACUCCUACUUGAUGAAGGUCAGAGGGAGGUAUACCUCAGCCCCCACUAUCCAACAGAUGGAGCAACAUUCAUGGUAAAUGCACAGAACAAGAUACCAUAAAACAACAAUCAGAAAUGAUGGAAUCCACCACAAAAGUAUGGGAAUCAACAGCAGAAAUCCAAGGGAAGAAAGACCAAAUUCAAUCCUAAUGUAAGAUGUACUCACUGUAUGAGGACAUGACAUGUUAGAUCAAAUUGCUAUAGGUUGAUAGAAUUUCCUGAAGAUUUCCAGUUUACCAAAUUAGGGAACUAUCAAGAAGCAGUCAAAGAAAAUGUUGUGAUGGGAAGUCAGAAAGGAGCAGAAAUGGAAGUCACUCCCAAUGGAGGAACUUGGAACAUUCAGAAUCAAUUCUUUAGUAAAGAGCAGGUUUCAGAACUAGUGAAUCUGAUAAAACAGGUACAGAUUCGAGGAGCAGGAAAUACAAGAACUGAAAUCAAUGCAAAUGAUGUAGCUGGUACUAUACUUAAGUAUUAUGGCACUUGCCUUGGUGUUUUUAACACUAAGACUUGGAUAAUUGAUUCUGGAGCUUCAAAACAUAUGUGUUUUGAUUCAAAUUCUUCCCUUAGUUUGACACCACUUCCCAUCCCUUUACACAUUAGCUUGCCUAAUUCUUUUCAAUUACAUGUCAUAUAUAUUGGAAGUGUUUGCAUCCAGCCUGAUAUGACACUUAACAAAGUUCUUUAUGUUCCCUCUUUCAGAUAUAACUUAUUGUUUGUUUAUAAGUUAUAUGCUCAAUUCAGUUGUUCCUUAAAUCUCACUUCUAGUGCAUGUCUGAUGCAGGUCCCUUUAAUGAGGAGGGGACAAGUUUUGGUAAAUUAAGGGAUGGUCUGUACCUGCUCCAGCCAGCUAAUAUAAAGUCUAGUUUUCUAUCUAAUCAAAAUGUAGUUUCAAUUCCAAAAGGAAGCAAUUCCACUCUAGUUUCUAGUCUUGUUUCUCUUUCAAAGGUUGUGUAUGCUAAUGCUACUUCAGAUGUAAAGGAUUGGCAUGUAAGGCUUGGGCAUUUACCCUUUCCAGUAAUGAAGAAAUUCACUUUCAUUCAUUUUCCCUUAAAUUUUGAUUAUGUUUGCAUUGUCUAUCCUCAAGCUAGACAAACUAGGAUUUUUUUUCCUAUCAGUCAAAUCAAAACAUGUGGUAUUUUUUAUCUAAUUCAUCUUGACACUUGGGGUCCUUUCAAAAACACAACAUAUAAUGGGUUCAAGUACUUAUUAACCAUUGUGGAUGAUUACAAUAGAGGAACUUGGACUUUCUUGUUAAGUUCAAAAAGCAAUGCCUUUUCAGUAUUAAAAUCAUUUCCAAGUUUGGUAGAAAGACAAUUUAACAAGAAAGUGAAAAAGAUAAGAUCAGACAAUGCACUGGAAUUAGGCAAAGGUACACAAAAUCCAGUUUUCUACUUGAACAUGGAAUCCUACAUGAAACUUCUUGUGUUGCUACACCCCAGCAAAAUGGAGUGUUGAAAGGAAACAUAGACAUCUUCUUGAAAUUGCAAGAGCCUUGAUGUUCCAGUCUAAUGUUCCUCUACAAUACUGGGGUGAAUGUAUUUUAACCUCUACUUAUUUGAUCAAUAGGUUUCCCUCCAGAACUUUGAAAGGGAAAACACCUUAUAAGGUUUUAUUUGGUAAGCCACCUACUUAUGAGCACCUCAGAUCUUUUGGGUAUUUGUGUCAUGUCUCUACUUUGGGUCACAACAGAGGGAAGUUUGCUCCCAGGGCAACAAGUUUGUUUUCUUGGCAUAUGCUGUACAUCAAAAGGGAUAUAAAGUCUUGGACCUAGCAAGCAGAAGGGUGUUUGUCUCUAGAGAUGUUAAAUUUCAUACGCAUCAGUUUUCCUUUGUUCAUUUUACCAUCCCCUAUGUUCUGUCCUAUUUUCCUUCUACUCCUAUCAUACCUGAUACCUCUCAACCAGUCCCCACACCACCUAGCAUAGCCCCAGACUUAUCUCCUUCAAGUCAUUCUUUCAUACCUAACAAUUCUCCUUCCUCAAGCAUUCCCACUCCUACUACACCAAUUAACUACAGAUCUGAACAUACUUCUGACCUUAUUUCUCACCUAAAUCUUCAAGCUCCUUCACUCAACUCUUCACCAAGCCCUACCUCUCCUCUCACUUCCACACCUAGCCCUAAUGUUUUAAUUCCUUCUCCACCUCCAAGAAUCAGAAAAUCUGAUAGGGUCAGUCAACAACCAGCCUACUUACAGGACUAUGUCUGCAAUACCAUCAUCCUCUCAGACCUCACCUCUACCUGUUUCACUCAUCCUGCCCAGCCAAAUAUUUUUUCUUUUGGAGCAUUAUCACUCAACAAUCAAAAGCUCUACCAUUCUUUGUAUACUAUCUCAUAACCUAGAAGUUUUGCUCAAGCUUCCACUCACCCAGGAUGGCAGCAUGCCAUGGAAGCAGAGAAUACAGCUCUUGAAUUGAACCACACUUGGGAUGUGGUAGAUUUGCCACAAGGGAAAAGAGCUCUACCUUGUAAAUGGGUGUACAAGGUGAAACAUAAUUCUGAUUGCACUAUAGAGAGGUUGAAGGCAAGACUAGUGGUCAGGGGGGACAUACAAAGAGAAGGGAUAGAGUAUUCUGAGACUUUAUCCCUUUGGUUAAAAUAACCACUAUUUGAUGUUUGUUAACAGUAGUUGUCAAAAAGGGGUGGAAGGUCUCACAAUUUGAUGUCAAUAAUGCAUUUAUGUAUGGGGAACUGCAGGAGGAAGUCUAUAUGAAAUUUUCUGCAGGUGUUUCCCCUCCUAAACCUGACCAAGUCUGCCUUUUGAGAAAAUCACUCUAUGGUUUGAAGCAAGACUCUCGACAAUGGUAUGCUAGACUUGCAUGGGCACUAAGUUAUAAGGGUUAUUCUAGUUCAUUGAAUGAUUAUUUCUUGUUCUAAAAACAGACAAGUGCCCUAUCAUCUAUCAUUGCUGUUUAUGUAGACGAUAUACUCUUAACAGGAGAUGAUAUCAGAAAAAUCCCACAAAUCACUGACUUCCUUAGCACAGAACUCAUAAUCAAACAUCCAGGGGACAUUCAUUAUUUCCUAGGCAUGGAAAUUCUAAGGGAAAAAUAAGGUUUUAUCAUUAGCCAGAGACAAUUUACCUUGGAUUUGUUGAAGGAGUUUGAUUGUACUGGGGCAGCAGUGUCUUCUCCGCUCGAUCCAUAUGCAAAGCUUCAUGCCGACUUUGGGCCUCCAAUGGAAAAUCCAACUGUUUAUUGUUACCUUGUUGGUAAGCUGAAUUACCUCACAAACACCAGACCAGAUCUCUCUUUUGUUGUCUUAUGCCUUAGUCAGUACAUACAGCAACCUACACUUCCAUAUUUCUCAGCAGCUCUGCGUGGUUUGAGGUAUCUACAUUCAGAUCAUUCUCAAGGAAUUUUUCUAUCAGCAAAUCCCUCAUUUGAUUUACUAGCCUUUUGCGAUGCCGACUGGGCAGCCUGCAAAGAUUCUCACAGAUCUGUGAGUGGGUUCUUUGUCACACUUAGUAGAGCCCCUAUUGCUUGGAAAUCCAAGAAGCAGGUUUCUGUAUCUCUUUCCUCCGCCGAAGCAGAAUAUCGAUCUAUGCGGCGUGUCACAGCUGAGAUAACCUGGUUAGUUCGUCUCCUUGCUGACCUCUCAACACCGGCGACUCUAUCAGUGCCCAUUUACUCUGAUAGUCAAGCGGCUAUUCAUAUAGCCCGAAAUCUCGUUUUUCAUGAACGGACCAAGCACGUGGAGUUAGAUUGCCACUUUAUCCGCCAACAGUUCCUCUAUGGGAUCAUCACUCUAUCUUUCGUUCCAUCGGCACAACAACUUGCCGAUCUCUUCACCAAACCCUUAUCUAGGGCUUCUCACCAAGCUAUAAUGAACAAGUUGGGGGUACUCUCUCUACCCUCCAACUUGAGGGGGGUGUUGACAUAGAAAAGCC
rnacentral:lncRNA from 1 species